CCAUGGCCGCCGCCAGCGCGCCGCCCGCGCGGGAGGGCGCCGGAGGCUGGGAGGGCGCGUGGAUGUGGGCCGGAAUGGAGGACGCCCGGCGGCGGCGGCGCUCCUCACGUCAGCCCGACCCGCCCGGCCGCCGCCCCCCACAGCUCCGCCGCUGGCCUCACUGCCGCCGCGGCUCCCUUCACCUCCGCCGCCGCCUCAGCCCCGCUGCUACCCUCAGACCCGCAGUUGCCUCAGCCCCGCCGCCGCCCGGCUCCCCACGGCCCGGCGUCGUACUCGGCCGCGGCUCCCACCAGCCCGCGGCGCGCCCCACCUCCCGCCCGCCCUCCGGCCCGCCCCGGCCCGGCUCGUCUCCACUUGGCGCACUGGCAGCCGCCCCCUCCCCGCGGCCCCCAGCCCGGCCCGGCCCCUACGCGCGUCACCCUCUCUCCCUCCCUCUCUCCGCGCCCCGCUGCGCUUGCCUUGCCUCGCCCCGCCCCUCUUGGGGGUCCCCGCCCCGCCCCCUCCCUGCCGGGGGUCGCCGUGCCCCGGAAGCCGCCCGGGGACUGCCCGGCCUCUGCCUUUGCGCGCUCGCAGUCGCCGCCCCUCGCCCGCCUUUGUUCUCGGGCCGCCCCUCUCGCUGGCGCGCCGGAAGACAGCCGCGGAGCCACCUGUCCCGGCCGCGCUUCCCGGGGCAUCCGCAGUUGCCCCGGGGGGCCGAAGGCGCCCGCCGAGGAGCGUGGGGAAGGCACGGCGGGAAAAAGUCGCCGAGAUUCGGCCCGCGUGCCUGCGUUCCCGCGUGGUUGAUGCCUCCGCCGAGGACGCGGGUGGCGGGGAGCCGGGGAGGGGCCUGAGGCCGGCUUGGCAGGUACCCCCGGGAGAACGCGGAGCCGGUGUAUGAUCUCGGCUGCGUCUGGGCUCCCCUGGGACCUCACGUGAGGAGCCGAGCUUGGCCAGUCCGCAAUGCUUGUUCUGGAAGGUGGAGGAUGCGCUCAGAUUCAAAGUACAAUCCCGCUUCCUUUCCAUUCAUUGUUGUUGCCUACACCCCAGCAACAGAACUUCGGGAAGACAAAGGGAUGAUUUCUAGGAUGUCGCAUUGACAACCACCGUCACCACGCCCAGCCCAGCCUGGCUCCUUGCUCCGGUCCGAGAGGUCCCCACCGACGGUGCCAGGCCUUCGAGCCCUGCUGACCCAGCUUCGUUCUCGCAGCUGAGGCCAGACGGGCCCUGUUCCUCAGUCCUGCCCCGUGCAGGCGUCAGCCUCCACUGCACUCCUUGUCCGAAUCUGCCAACAGGCAACUGCGUCUUUCAGCUAAAUUGUCUUCAUUCAUCAGGACCCUCGCUCAGACUCCCCGGAUAGAGUUCAGCGUUUAAAAAAAAAAAAAAAAAAAACCUCUGCGGCUAUCUGCAUUGUGAAAGCUGUUACAAAAUGGAGUCAAGGAAAGCCACGAAGGGAAGGUUCUCACUAAUAAUAGCCUGAUAUCAAGAAUUAACACAAAAAACUGCCAAAACCACAACCUUGCACAAAGGCCACAAAACUACACAAAAAGUGCUUUAAGGACAUGUGCACAGCUACUGCUGCCCAGUCUUGGACUGGCAUCCCCUUUGUUAUUGAUCUUUAUAGCCAAGGGUAAUUGUUUCGAAACAACUUAGGUAAUCCUCCCCUUUUCCUUGUAAACCCCUUGUCUUCCUUUACCUCCCUCAAUACACCUGUAGUUUACUAUGGCACCUUAUUCCACAUUGCAAUGUCUACUCGCAAAUAAAUUUGUCAUGUUUGGCAAACCUGUCUGUUAUUUCCGUUGACAAGAUCAAAUGCAAAUUUAUUCCGGAGUCAACAAAUACUGAUUGAGUCUUCCAAUGUGCAAGGCAAGGAAAAAUAUUAAGGAGGCACUGUAUAGAUUGGGAUCCUAUCGGCAGCUUCGACACUAAUAGAAUAUGGUACAAAUAUUUAAUUGUACUUUAAGGCAGCUUAGGUGGAAGACAACUAGCAACUAAAAAAAAUGGAGUUUGCUAGCAACUAAAAAAUUGGAGAUUUCAAGGUUGACAGAGAAUUUGAAAACUGCUUUAAAGACAGGUAGGAAAGAUACAGGUAGAUGUGCAAUGGAAGUAGAAAUUGGGUUUCAAGCCCAAAACAGGCUGAGGGGGGAAAAUAGACAUAUUCAGGUACAUCAAUCAUUCAUUCCAGUUUGCCAUAAGAAUAAGGUAAAUGAAGGUGGAUUCUAGGAGUUAAGGACCAAAUACAUAGGGAGGUACUAUGAUGUAAUGGAUAGAACAAGGAUUUAGAGUUAAGACUUUGGUUUGAAUCCCAGAUGUGCCACUUACUAGCUGUGUGACCAUAGGUAAAUUAUUUAAUAUCUCUGACCCUCCAUUUCCUCAUUUGUAUGAUAAUAAUAAUAAUGACCAUUCAAUUAUUCCACAAAUACUUUAUGGCAAGCCAAAUAUAAACUGAGAACUAUGUUAAAUGAUGGAGACAUAAAAAACUGUUCAUUAAUCAAAUACUGUCUUACUGUUUAAUAAGUUACACCCUGAGUUAGGCCCUGGAAAUACAGUGAUAAGGGGGGAAAAAAAACAUGAAACUGAAUGAGGCCACUUAGAUUAUGCAGAUAUAGAUGAAAAUAAGGCCCCAAACCAAGACGUCCAAAGGUAUUCAACUUGUGGAAGUAAGACAGAGAAGGAAAAAGAAGAAAACUGAGUGUAAAGUACUGUAAACUGAAAGGAGAGAGUUUUUAAAAGGAAUUGGUCACCUCUCUCAAUGGAGAAGUUAGUAAGUUGACAUAGAAGUAGCCAUUGUAUUUAGCAACCUGAAGGUAAUUAACUAUCUUGACUGUUUCAAGCUAUUUCAGCAAAGUGGUGGUUUCAGAAAUUAAAUUGAAGCAGAUGAGGGGAGGAAUGGGAGACUAGGAAUUGGAGCCUGAGUAUAGACAACUCUUUUCUGUGAAGUUUUAUUAUUAAAAGUAGUGGAGAAAGAGAGUAUCUGGAGAGGUGGUUAGCAAUGUUUUUAAGAUGGAAAACAGUUGGUAUACUAACAAGAAUGAUUGAGUCCGAAGGUGGAAAACCAUGGUUGAGCAGAGAGAGGAAAUGCUACUGGAAGGCAGCUUGUAAGAAGGCAAGAAGGAAUGGGCCUCCGAGCACAGGUAUUAGAUGAGAAGCAGAAUCCACCCAUUCUAACUGGAAAGACAGAAAGUGGCUGCAGCUGCAAGCAGGUGAGUGGAAAACUUGAAGGAUUUUUAUUUCUGACAUAUUUUCUUUCCUUAAUGAAAUAUAAAGGGAAAAUCAGCUGACAAUUGAGUAAAGGAGAGAGAUACAGAAGGUUUGAGGAAGAGGGUGUGUCAGAGAGCAAGAAAGCAAAGUUUCCAGGAUGCCAAGUGCUUUGCCUACUUGAGACUUGUCAUGAAUUUAAAGUGAAACUAGUCAGUCUGGCUUUGUAAGGUUCUCAGUCAAAUUUGGCUACUUGGAUUGAGGCUUGGACAAAGCAGAUAACGGUUUGUUCACGAAGGCGUUUUCUAGGUGAGGAAGAGAGACAAAAAAAUUGGAGUGUGUUUGGAAAGGAGUGAUUAUAAUGAUGAGCCAUGAAAUGUAAGCUAAAUAAGGAAGGAAAUUAGAGGGCUAUAAAUGGUGACAAAAGCCAAUGAACUGGCGAUUUCAAUAAGAUUAAAGAGUGGCUGUCUUAAGGGUACUAGAGGUGGUGAGCGGAAAGGACAGGAAAUGAUUGCAUGAGAAUAACUUGCUAGAAAUAAAGAUUUCAGGGGUCAUACUAAUAUUGGUGAUGGCAAGGUCUAGAGGGGUAAAAGGAAGUAAAGGCAAUUGUAUAUGAGUUGGUUAAGGAAUUGAGAAACUAGCAUACAGCCAGUCCUAGCUUGGCAUGGUAGAACGGGACUAUAAAAAUGACUGUGGAAGUUGAUAUCGUGCAACGUGAUCUUAAUCAAAGAGAAAAAUUAAAAUUGUUCAGUGACCCUUAAGAACUAUUGUUGAAACAUCCAAAACUCUCUUACUGCUAGGUAAAAAUAUAUCAGGAAUUUUUUAAAUUGUAAAACUAAUUUAUUCAGUAUGCCAUAAUUUAAAACAUGAGAAACAUGGAGAAUUAGUCUUUAUUCUUUGUAAAAAAAACAAAGAAAACAAAAAAUGUUACCAAUAGUAGUGUGAACUGUGUUUGCCUCUUCUCAUACUAUUACGUAAUCUUCUGUAUUGAUAAAUUGUCAUUCUGCUUUCUAAGUUUAGAUCAGCUUCCAACAUUUUAUCUUUGCAUUUUCAAUCUUGUGAACAAUUCCCAGGAAUUCUUUAAUACAAAGUGUGGCAGCAUCACUUCCUGUGGCCCUCUUCACCCUUUUGUCACAGCCACUUUCACUAAUCUCUUAACAUUAAUCAAUUCAUAAAAUUAUGAAACCAGAA